UUUCCUCCUUUUUCUUCACAAAAAAAGCACACAUUGGCAAGAAAGCUCUACUGGAAGCUUUAUAAUCAAUAAACCUGUUGUUUGUUGAAGGAUUACAUCUCUAAACUUGCAUGUUAAGCAGGGACUACUUCUUGGACUAUUCAUUAACUGGAAAGCUCAUUCCUCUUUUUCCCUCUGUGAUUAUGCCUUGGUACGUCUCCAGAGCUCGCCUGGUUUAUGUUCUUCAGGUUUUCUCAGAGGCAUCACACAAAUGUGUCCAAGUUGUCAGGAAUUCAGAGAUAAGGGUUUAUCAAAUGGACUGACCAGUGAUGGAGUGGGUGGCUCAGAGAUAUUUCAAACAGGCUACAAGAAUCCCCCAGUGAAGUCCUACCACAAAUUCAUUGUUGAUCAUGGAUUCGACCUUCAGCAUGCAGAGAGGAAAUACAGAGUUCAAAGCAAGGUGUAUAGCAUGGGCUCUGGAGCUGCUGGCUUAGUUUCAUGUCCAGAUCUCUUCAUGGCAACCUUGACUAACAACCCUGUGUUCCUAUCUCCUCCUAUGUAGAAUGGAGAAAUGAGAGCAUUUAUCUCACUAUGUUAUCAAGGCUCAAUGAGGGGUAUGAUGGGAUGAGGUAACACGUAAAUCCCAAUAGUCCAAUACUUACUAUAAUAAAUAAUAAAUGUUAAAAAUGUUAUUACCAUUUUAAACAUUUUUCAUUUCAUUUUGUCCUCAGAGAAUCAUGUGAAACAGGUAUUGUUAUUCCACUUUACAGAUCAUAAAAAUGAAGAAUCAGAGAAAUUGAGUUGAUGUCUCAUAUCUGUUUAAUUCCAGUUCUGUUUGGUUACAGAACCCUUUCUUAUGGUUUGGAUAUGAGGUAUCCCCCCAAAGCUCCUAUGUUAUAAAGAAGGAAAGUUGGGAUAUGAAAUGACUGGAUUGUGAGCACUGUGGCCUGAUCAGUCCAUUCCAGUUUAAAUGGACUGACCACAUAGUAACUUUAGGCAGGUGGAGCAUGGCUGGAGGUGUGCAGCUUCCCCAUGGCUCCCUCCCUGUGCCAUCUCCCUGCUUUCUGAUUGCCAUUAAUGGACCAGUGCUCUCUUCCAUGUCCUUCUACCAUCAUGUUCUGCCAUACCUUGGGCCCACAGUAAUAGACUUGGUCAACCAUGAACUAAACCUCUGACUAAACCUCUGGAACCAUGAGCCAAAAUAAUCUUUUUUUUCCCUCUAAGUUAUUCUUUUUGGAUAUUUUGGUCACAUUGACACAAAACUGGACUAACACACUUAACUUCUCCUCAACUAUAAUAUAUACAUGCCUAUAAUACUCAUGGUUCUCUAGAAGAACAGAAUCAACAGGACACACACACACACACACACACACACACACACACACACACACACGGAUAGCCAUAGGAACCAGUAGCUGUUCAGUCCAAGGAGCUGGAGCUUCAGAACAAGAGGGGCCAAAGAUACAGUCCUUGUCUAAGGUGGAAGGAGGCCUGGAAACUUUCUGGAGAAUCACUGGUGCAGUUCUGCUUGAGAGAAGAGAAGGAGCUGGAUUCCUCAGAUGAUUGCAGUAGAUAGAAGUCCUGCUGAAUAAGAAAGGAGCUUUUGUCUGUGUUAGCUUGCUCCUUGCUCCAGCCCAUAGGACUGUGCUGCCCACAUUCAGGGCAGUUUCCCCCCUAAAUUUGCUGUUCCACAUGUCAGUCAUUUCUGGAAACUCCCUCAUUGAUACACCCAGAAGUCUCUUAAUCCUAGGCAUCUCUUCAUCCAAUCAAGUUGACCAUCCAGAGUGUCUUUCACAGAGUUUUAUUCAGCUCCCGCUUUUAUAUCAGCUUCAGUGAUACUUUUUAACUUCAAGGACAGAGAAUUCUUUUUAUUUUAAGGAAAUUGUCUUGUUUUCCUCUUGCUGACAUUCCUUACCAAGGUUUAGAGACAUUAAGCCAAGAUUAAGUCUCAAGCAAUUAUAAAAUGACUUUAUGAAUCAAAUCCUCUUGUUACUACAUAAUACUCUUAUUUCUUAUUUGUAAGAAAAACUAUUGGAAGCAGAAAAAAACGGUUCCGUUGAAAUAUUCUCCUUAAACAGAUAUUUUAGCAGAGUUUAUCUAUUUUUUCCCCUCAAUGUAGAAAAAAAAAUAUUGUGCAUUGCCACAAAAGCAUUCUUAUAAUCAUUCCAACUUCAUUAUUGGUUUGGAUUUUAUGAUAUCAAUCCUGUUAUGCAAUCUAAUCUCUGAGAAUUUAGAGACUUCACUCAUCUCAGUUUCAAUUUUCAGCUUUUGUUUCUUGUUUUAAACUAAUUCUCAAGGUAUCAUUUUUUUAGAACACAGCAAGUGGAGGCCAUCAGAUAAUUACACAUUUCCCUGCGGUGACACCAUAUUUUGUUAAACUCUUGUUUGCUUUCCCUGUAGCUGAUGGUCUUCUCUACUGAGAUUUCUGCUCUUUAAACAUGUGUCACUAGAUAAAUCCAUUAUUUAGCCAAAAUGUUUAAUUUGGAAAGUUCAAAAUACUUAUGAAUAUAUUAGAGGCCCUUAUCAUUUAUUUUUAUCAUUCAUCAAAGCUAACCCUUAGAGUAUGUAAGAAAUUUUAUUGUAUUCUAUACCACUGCUAUUUAUUUUAUAACAAACCACUUUACAAAAGUAAUGAGUGGUUGCAAUUAAAUGGGGGAAGUAUUAAUAAGAAAAGGUAAUAUUCAUUAAACAUUACAUGGUGAGCAUUUGGUAUUGACUCACGAUAUUUCCACAACAGCCCUAAUCAUUUUAUAGUUAAAGAAGCAAAGAUUCAAGCUUCGCCUAAGACCACACAGCUAGGAAGUAACUGGGCAGGGGAUUAGGGUCAGUCUUGAAUGAGAUUUCUUUACUAAUGAACUAAACCAGUGAUUCUCAAAUUUGGGAAACUUUCUUCUUUAAACAGAGAGUGAUAUCAUGAUUUCUGGAAAAUGAAAAACAAAAAAACAAAAAACAACAACUUCCUGAUUUUAGAGUGUUGUCCCAAACAACGUCUAUGACGUCUAUGUAUAUAUCAUUGGAAAUCUUUGGCAGUGUGGAAAUUAAGAAACAGGUCUGUAUCAUGAAUGUGCAUAAAAUUCCCAUCCUUCAACCAUUAGAGAAGGAGGGAAAGAAAACUUAUGAAGGGCAGGGAGGGAAGUGAAAUUAAGGUUAAAGAAUGGUUAUCUAUCUCACCCUCCCACCAUCACACUGCCUUCCUUUGUCCAUCCAUUUUCAGUCAGAUAUAGUAGUAUAUUUACAUAAUCAUUUGGAUUGCUAUAUUUCUAGAAUGUACUUCCGUGCAGAAUUUCUCCUGUAUAAACAAUUUUCCCUGGUGAAGAUUGAUGCAUGACUCGUUUUCUUGCAGAAAAGACCUGUGGUUGCAAAUUUGUUCAGGAUAGAUUGGCAGCUCAGAAAAUGAAUGAAACAUGUUCUGUCUUCUUAGGCAACAAAUUGAUCCCAGGCUUCACUAAAGAUAUGCCCAUACAAGAACUGCCACAUGUAUCUAAACAAUGUCCUAACUCAAAUCUCUAAGUCUGGAAGUGAGUCUUCUCGUCUUCUUUAGGAUAAGCAGAGACCCAUCAGGUAUUCCUGAGAAUUGACAAGAUUCAGAAGUGGGUAUUGUCAUAGAUAGAUAGAUAGAUAGAUAGAUAGAUAGAUAGAUAGAUAGAUAGAUAGAUAGAUAGAAAUAAAUAAAUAGAUAGAUAUAUAGAUAAGUAUGUAUGUCAUUGACCUCAUCACCAGUGUUUAAGUUAAGAGUUCAGGACUGUAUCAUGAUUUUGUGUAUCAAAAUUUUGUCUCAUCUUCAUCUAGAUUCCUCACAUUUAAGUUUAGUAGCACUUAUAGCAAAGCUCAUCCUUCAAACAUUAAAAAAGGAGAAGGAAUAAAAGACACGAAAGGUGGGGAGAGAGGCAAAGAUAAAAUUGUGUCGUAACAUUCUUUUAACAAUUGAUUAAAUGGUUAUGCUAUUUCAUAUGUACAUGUAGAUUAUGUAGAUAGAACCACAAAUACAAGAGGCAGUACCUUGAAGACAAAGGGAAGAUUAUGUUUCCCCAAAUUGGAUGUGCUUCAACUGUGUACAGAGGUUCUGGCUGCAACCUUCAGUCCCUUAACUCUUAGUCUGAGGCCACAUCAUAUUCUGCUGUCACUGUUGUCUUCCGUCAGUCAGGCUGCGGAUGUCACAUUCUCAUCAGCUUCAUUUUACAAUAUGGGACAUGCAUAAGAGAAAACCUGGGCAUUGUGAAGAGGGUUAUGAGCGGAGAAUAUUUGGAAAAGCAAAUUUUGAGACUAAGACUUGGCAAUAUCCAGGACAUAACUAAAUAUACAUAAGUGUUUGGAUUUUAUUAUUAUAUUUAUUUACACUUUUUUUCCUACCAUGACAACUUCCAGAUAAUAUUUUCUGACUGAGAGUUGGUGACUUCCACAGAAGUGACAUUAUUCAUUAAUGACUCAAUGUUCAAAAAGGUAGGGAAAUUUGCAAAAAGUGAUUUUUGCUGGAGGAUGUCGUAAAUGUGAUGCUAAAUCAGAUAGUGUGAAAGGAGACCCUCACUGGUUCACAGUGAUGUAUAUUUGGUCUUUUCAUGCAUUCAUUGAUUUGUGAAGUAGAAAAAAAAUCCAUACUGGACAUGUUUGAAAUUGCUCUGUGUGAAUUGAGAAUUGUGUUGUGACAUUCUGUUUACAAUCGAUUUAUCUGAAUAUGCUAUUUAACAUAGACAUGCAAAAAUUAUAUAAAAUACCAUCUUCAUAUAUAAAUGUAUGUGCAAGGAAGGAAAAUUCUUCAGAGGAUUAAAACACUGUUUGGAAUUCUGCCAAAGUCGAAGAGGUUGCUGUCUUAUGCAAAUUAAGAGACAUAAAGCAGAGUAUUUACUGAGCAGAUUCAUUUGGUUUGUGUAAUCAAAUAUUGGAGCAGAUUAUCUAUGUGGGUAAGACUUGUGACUUGAAAUUAAACUAUAACUUUCAACUUUUCAUCCAUGAAUGAUGUUGAAAUGAGGUAGGGAAAAUUAGAUGAAGUAAAUAUUCUAUUGCAUCUAUAUACUGUAA